rnacentral:rRNA from 1 species
AGAGUUUGAUCAUGGCUCAGAGCGAACGCUGGCGGCGUACUUAACACAUGCAAGUCGAACGAGGAGCCUCGAUGUAGCAAUACAUCGGUGCUUCUAGUGGCGAACGGGUGAGUAACACGUGGGGAACCUGUCCUCCAGUCGGGGAUACCCGCUCGAAAGGGCGGCUAAUACCGGAUGCGUUCUCGAGGUCGCAAGAUCUUGAGAGGAAAGGCGGCGAAAGCUGUCGCUGGUGGAGGGCCUUGCGGCCUAUCAGCUAGUUGGUGAGGUAAUGGCUCACCAAGGCUAUGACGGGUAGCUGGUCUGAGAGGACGACCAGCCACGCGGGGACUGAGACACGGCCCCGACUCCUACGGGAGGCAGCAGUGGGGAAUUUUCCGCAAUGGGCAAAAGCCUGACGGAGUGACGCCGCGUAGGGGACGAAGGCCUUCGGGUUGUAAACCCCUGUCAGAGGGAAAGAAGGGCCGCUGGGUCAAUACCCCGGCGGUCUGACGGUACCUUCAGAGGAAGCCCCGGCCAACCCUGUGCCAGCAGCCGCGGUA